UCUUAUUGGUAUCUUUCAGGUACAAUGUGUUCCAGAUCGGGUUUGUUGUCCUCGCUGGACUGACCUUUUUAUAUUACAUUGCCUUUGGAUGGAGAAGAAAAAAGCCGAGCGGUAGAUUCCAGCUCUCUACCUAAUGUAAAUCUCUUCUAUUUAUUUUAUCCUCUGUGUUUCCUCGUCUUUGGGAUUCGAUUGCGUGCUGCUGAGGAUUGCUCUGUCCACAAUUAUACCGAGAUUGGUCUCAUGAUCUUUGCAAGUGGUCUUAUAUUAUAAGAACAAGCACCUGCCCAAAAAGCUUCUCUUCUUCUACUUCUCUUUUCUGCUGAGGUUUGGUUUCAUUUCACUUGAAUGUAAUAUUGUUCUUCUUUCUUUUUUCUCUUGUAUCUAUUGUUUUAAUUUUGUUUGAUUAAUUACGAGAAAGAUCUCUGUGUCGCCUGUCUUCUCAUGGUCUUUUGUACUACUUCCAAUACUCUCUCGUAACCGUUACUUGGUUAAGAGUUUAGAUUAUCAGAACAGAUUCGGGUUUUGGAGUUUUCUGAGGUA